ensembl:lncRNA
GAGGGUGGGGGGGUGGGAGCGGCCCAGCGCUGUGUCCCGUUCUCCUCGCGGCCCCCCGGAGUCGUUGCGGGCGGGGCCCCCGCGGUGCCCCCGUGGAGCGUGUGUGCGCCGCGCUCACCCGGCCCCGGAGCCGGACAAACAAUGUGAGACUCGGAGGAACAAAAGCCUCGGGGCUUGGGUUGCUGAACACGUCUGAGGCCAGACAAGCCGCUCAGUUUAUUGGACUUGCCACAUGCCUGGAAGCCCCCGGAGAAGAGGAGGUUGCCCUUUUCCUGCUAGUGCUGUAGACUUCAGGGGUUGGUUGUUAUCUUUGGUUAUCUAGCUGUAUGAGUGGUGUCGAUUCUUCAUAAAGCUAGAUAACCGAAAGUAAAAAUAACCCCAUUACACGCCUGAGGAGGAUGUGGAGAAGAAAGGAAAUUCAUCGGGAGGAAGAGAAGGAAAACAAAAAGAAAAAUGAAAGAGAAAGAAAGAAAGAAGACGAAGGAAAGGAGAGGCGGAAAAAAGAAAGAACAGAGGGGAGGAAAAAAAAAAAAAGACAACUUUUUGAGACUGGAAUUAAAACCGAGGUAGGAUUUCAUGAUUUCUUCAUUUCAAGACCUGAUUUGUCUCCUUUUAAGCAAGCAUUUUCUGGUUCCGCCUUGAGCAAAAUGGGGACGGUGCCGUUCUUUGCUCGGCUGCUGACUAUAAUUGAAUUAACAAAGUAAAACUUCCCAUCAGAUUGUGAAUUAGUGAAGCACAGGACCCAGACUGCAGAUCGAGGAUGAACUCUCAUUGCGUAACCUCUCGUAUAGCAUCGCAGAACCCAUAAAUCAAUACAGAUUACCGUGCUGGAUUAUCUGUUUAAUAAAGCAGCAACCGAGCACUGUUUAUUAAUGGUUGUUUUGCAAAUAUGAACACUGGAUUCUUUUCCUUUUUUCUCUUCUCCCCACCCCCCCCCCAACCCCCCCACUAUUUCCAAUCUAUUUAGCUUCAUUCCCUGACAGAGAUAACUUGGUAUCCAGAUUAGAAAGAGCGAUGCAGUGAUUUGGAAAAUGGUUUCUUGCAGCUUUCUUUGUGUUAUUUUAUUUUUUUUUAUUAUUCCCUCUUUUUGUACCUCUAUCCAAACGCUCCCUUUCUUCUUUCAACCCUCUGCCUGUGAACGUUUCUUUGAUCCAAGAUUGGGGUUUUAUUAACAAAACUAUCUAUUUAAUUUGCCUUUGAAGCAGCGCGAGACGAAUGGGGGGGGAAACUUGAUUUUUUUUCUAUUAUUUCUUCUCUCCGAAUGCCAAUUCACACCAAUCUUCGCUCCCUUCACUGUGUUAUCUCUUGGCCCCUUCUUAUGGAAUCCAGGAUUUCUACUUGCUCUGCUUUAGAAGGGGACUGGGGUUCAUGGAUGUGCAUUGGGCGCUCCCCACCCACUGCUAUGGCCAGGCUGCUUAGAUGCCACCCGCCCAACCUGGCGGCCCAUUUGGACAAUGUCUUGAUGCUGCUUCAAAGAACACAAAGCUCUCCGUGUGGGUUAGGAUAUAUGUUACAUACCAUCUCAUAACGGUCAUUCCAAGGGUUGGGGGGGUUGCAAAGCUCUUAAUAAAAAAUGUAUAUGAGCCUUAGCGGCCGAACUGAUGUUGGAAAGGAGUCUUUAGAGCAUUGCACCUUGGGAGAGGUGUAGAAAAAGAGCUGGCUUUUGACCUGUGCUGGACCUGCUCAUUUUGCUCUUGUGCUCAUCAGAACCUUAUUAUUAUUAUUAUAUUUUUUAAAGGGAGAGGGAGAGUGGAAGAAACUGUCCCUGGGACCUUGUGCAGGGGGAGGCUGUAGUUCAGGAUGCGGUGUGAGAUGAGUCAUGCUCCUAUGAUGACUUUAAUUUAAUAAACAAAGCCAUUUUCACCUCCUCACCCACAGCCCCAUAAUUCAGACUCACUCGGUGCAUGUGCCACCUCCCUGCACCCAUUUCCUUGGGGAUGAGUCCAGGAAACACCCCCUGCCCACACCCUUCUGGGUGUGCUCGGGUGCUGCUCUUGUCCUGCAGCCGAGGGUGCUGGGGCAGAGGGACAUUUCUUUGUGCUCUCAUUGCAUCCCCUGCUGCUGCUCCAGGCUGGUGGCACAUCCCAGGCCGGGGCCAUGUGGCUGAGAGUGGAGGGAUGGAGAGCACUGAGUCCAUGGACGGUUUCUAUGGGGCUUGUCCUGUGCCUGAGCAUGGGAUGGAGUCAGCCGCCUGGCUUUGGUGGCAGCAGGAUGUCACUGUGCUGCUGUCCCCUUUGAGGUGCCCGGUGCCACCAGCAGAUGUUUGGGUGCGGGUGGGCAUCGGGCACAGCUGUGUGUCCUCGUGCAAGAGGCUCACUGGGGACAAUGCAGUGGGUGAGGUGCUUUUAUUGCUGGGGAGCAGCCACGUGCCACCCUCUGUUGAACAGUGGAUUGGGUCUGGGUGGGGGGAGGGGGAGUGGUGGAAGGACGGUGCCAAUCAGGGGCUGGGAGCAGCGUGCCAUCAUCUUUUGGUUUUCCCAGGUGACCAAUCCUGGUGGGCACGGGGCCGAGGCGGUGCUGCCAUAGGCUGUGGUGUGAUGCUGUCACCUGCUCGGCUCUAACAAAGGCAUGGGCAGAGAUGGGGCUGGUGACCUGGGAUGAGGGCAAAGCUCUGUGGGGAAUUUGGUGACCCAUGGAGUAGGGGAUGCUCAUUGUCCAAGCCAUUCCCUGCUCAACCAUCCCUACUGGGUGCAAUCCUGCACUCCUAAGAGGGAAUCGAUACUCAGCAGCCCCAUUUCUCCCACCCCAUGGGGCUCGGGAUGCUGUCAGAUGCUCUCUGUCUUAGCAGAACUUCUUUACAGUCUCAUGUCACUGCGGCAGGUGAGCAUGAGCAUGGCCAUCCCAAGGCCUUUGGGAGCUGGAAUCCUGCAGGCAGCUGUCCCCGACCCUUAUUUAUUUCCUCCUCUCCCCACUUUGCUCCCAGAGUGUUCUGGCAGUAGGAGCACUGUGUGUUGGCAUGACGUUGAUCUAAAUUGCAGCUUAUAUGUGGCUGUUUAAGCUUGCUUGGACACUGUGAUUUGAGUGGUUAACACUCAGCACUGUCUGCUCGCCUCUCCCUUGUGUCUACCUAACUGCUGGAGACGUUAAUGGGAGAGAUGCUUGCAUGUUCUGUAUUGAGCGCUCAGCCCUCCGUGUCCUUUCUCAUGCUUGAAGCAGAGUGGUUGGAGCAAAGAAAGGAGUAAAGGCGAUACUAAUUAAUCACCGGGUCAGUGAGUGAUUGAGAAGAACCGGCUUAUACAGAUGUAACCAUUGACAAAUGGUGAUUUCAAUUCAGUGCAUCGUUUUCACCUUGAAAUACCCUAGGAAUGAACCUGAGGUUGACUUGCCUUUGCCUUAAACAAAUGGCUGGAGCCUUCCGAGGUCUCCAGCCCUCGUCAUCCCCACUGUGACCCAUUGGGUUUCUCGUGCUAUGGGCCAGGGAGGUGGAGAAUAGUGCGGUCACAAAGAAACCGUGUGUGUGUGCGUGUCUAAAUGCAGGAAUAUCUAUGUUUCAAACUCCAAGUAAUUGCAGCAGGGUUGCAGUGCUCAUGGAUGGAUUCUGGUGAUGCUCACGAGGGAGCAGUGGGGUUUUGGGGUCUGUGCCUCACCCUGUUCCCAAGGCAAUGCUGUUGGGAAUGUCAGGUCUGUGUGGGUCUGCUCCUCGUUGGCCUGGGGCUGUGUCUUUGUGUUGGGAGCAGCCGUUCCUCUCCAAAUAAGCAGGACUCCCAAGCCCUGAGGGUUUCCAAGGGCGUGAUUUUCACGUUGGGAUUAUGACAAAGCGUCUGAGUGGGCGCACUGAGUUCCUGGAGGAACCAAAUUGGGCCCUGUUGAAUUUUGGCAGUGAGAACAGCAUCCCGGGGCUGUGCUCUGCAUGAACGGUGUGCCCCUGAGCUCUGCCCCUGUUGCAGAUUUGGGACAUUGCAGUGCUCUGCAAUGAGUCUUGCCGUGCCCCGCAUUAGCGCUGGGCAUCCCAGUGCUACUUUUUCCCCUAUAGCACAAAAAAAGAAAGCAGUGAGGGGCUUUCUCCAUUCCUAUCCCCUCAGCAAGCCAAUGUGGCACAUGGCAUCCACCAAAUGGGAGUCGACGGGUGCCCUGGGGGGACAGCUGAUGGCAUUUCCCUCGGCAGCAGCAGGGAGGAAAAUGCUGAGCUAGGCACUGGUGGGGCCGGGUCGGUCACUGUGAUGCUCUGAGGGUGAUUGGAUGUGAAAGCAGAGCUGCUGGCUGCUUUCUGGCUCCCCAUUUGCCUCGUGUUGCAGGAGGUUUGGCUGGCCUGGGACAAUGUGACAGCACUGCCAUCGAGAUAGGAGCCUUAAAAGUAGUUCUAGAGCCAUGGUCUGGUUGCCCUGUGGGGUUUUUAGGGAUGGGGAGAGCCAAGUGUGAGUGCUCCGCUCUCUGCCUUCUCUAGAAUGCAAUGGAAAGGCAAUGGCUGCUGGCUGGGGGGCUCGAGAGCAGGCAAGCAUCUGCAAAGCGGUGCUGUCGUGGUGGGUUUCGCAGGAAAAGAUGGGAAAUGCACUGAGAGCUGAAUCACAGGGCAGAUCGCUGAGGUCUGUGAGGGUGGGAGCAGCUCCUGGCUGAAUGUGCUCCGAUCAGCGGUCUCGUGCUGGUGUGACAUGAGGAUUUGCCCUGCUGCUGCUGAGAGCCGGUGCUCGUGGCUACGAUGCUGAGCUGUGUAAUCCCUAAGCUGUGGCUCUGACAGCCCUAGGAGGUGUAAAAAUCAUUCUAAUUCCACUUUCAGGGCUUUUGGUGUCACCAGGGCAGGGACAAAGGGGGCAAUGCCAAGUGUGUGCGCUCGGUCUCAAAUCCCUGCACAUGGAUCUUGGGGAAAAUGUGAUUAAUAAGCGCUGGGGAUGAACAUGGGUGUGUGUGAUGGGGGUAUUAACCACCCCAAAGUUGUUUUGUUUGGAGGAAAAAAGUGUGUAUAUAUAUGUCUGUCCUUGGAUCCAUUUUGUUCCCUUUGAUAGAUACUGUGUGGGUAAUGGGGAGGAGAUGAGGGGCUGCAGGACUGUGAUUCCCUUUUGGAAGCACUGAGUGCUCCUUGGGAAGGAGGAAGAGCUUCCCUUGAGGUGUUAGCUUUGUUCCAGCCCUUCCUCCUGCUCUAACUUUCAGUCAGUGUCAAAGGGAGGGAAGCCUACAAUUAGGACUGGUGGGUUCUGAGUGGGUUCCUCAGCCCCAAGCGGGUUUUGUGCCCUCCUGAGCCCCUGACGCACCAUGGGCUGCGCCGUCCUCACCUCCCAUGAGUGAGCUGUAGGGGGGGAAAACAAAAUGGAAAGGAAUUGUGUCUUCAGAUGGCCUGGCAGCGUUGUCUGGAGCUGCAUGUGGGGUUGAUGGGAAAGGUGUGGGGAGCUGGGAAUGUAACUCUGGCUGACGAAGGGCAACAGGGAUGGAGUUUGCUUGGAAGCUUGGGUUGAUGCCAUGCAGAGCUGUUGGUGUUCAGGGACUCGUGGGUGCUGCAGAGGGUGAAUGGGCCACCGAUGGCUGCGGGUUCUGCACAGACCCCACCUCCUGGGGAGUUUGCUCCCUUCCUCUGCUUUGGUUUAGCUUCGAACCACCAAAGCCCGGAGAAACCUGCUCCCUAUUAAAGCAUAUCGAGAUAUAACAUAUAAAAACAUGAAGUUUUAUCUCAAGGCCAUUCCAUUCCAGAGGAGCUGGGUGCUUUCUGGAGCACGCGCUGCGCACGGCCGUAGAACCCACGGCUGCAAGGCUCUCUGCUUUGCGGGUUGCCAUGGAAAACCAGGAUUAUUCAGCUUGUGCAUGGGCAGAGGGGGCCAGCACCAUCGUUUUGAACAUGCACCGUGCUGGCCCUGGUGGGAGCCUCGGCAUCCUCCCUGCUCUCCUCCCGCAGCCCCAGCCCCUUGGCUGGGCUCUUAUCUCCAAUAAUCCUCCCAUAAGAGGGCUUUCUGCUUGUUAUGACACCCAGUGAAAGCGUGGGAGAAAGAUCCUUUCUUCACCCUUGUCCUCCGCAGCCAGCCACUAGCCUGAAUGGGAGGCUUUUUUGUGUCCCUGUGUGCCUGACUAAUUGAGCUGAAGGACUUGCGUCUGGAAGGGCUUGAAAGGGACUUUUGUUGCUGCUGCAGAGUUUGUGGAAGGCGAAUGAGCACUGCUUUCUUAAGGGAUGCAGGUCCUGGGCAAAUUUGACUCUCGAGUGCUCACGCCUCUGAGGUCUUUGGGAAAAUUAGGAGGAAAAAAAAAAAAAGGGUGGUGGGUUUGCUUGCUUGCUUUCUUUUUUUUUUUUUUUUUCCUUGCUGAAAAAUGGAGUCUGGCCCCCAAAUGCUUUGUGAGCCGGCUUUAAAACAGGGCUGAGAAAGCACUGAGAUAAGAAAAUGGUGGUUUAAAAAUAACCACGCCGCCUCCUGCGUCCUCAGGGCUGACACUCGGAGCACAAAUCCCCUCCGUGACCUCAGGAGGAAUUGAGGUUCCACCAUCCAACGGCGCUUCCCAGCUGUGUUCUGCCCCGUCAUGCUGCGAGCUGAUGGGCACUGAGCGCCCCCAGCACUGCCCACACCCCUCCGUUCGCUGCUGCAAAAUCCUCUUUCCCUUUUUGCCUUUGCUGUGAUGGAAGGGGUGGGAAGUCGGGGUUCUUGACGCAGGUGCUUUCCUUAGGGCAUGGGGUUGUCCCAUGGGUGCUGUCUGUGCAUGGAAGGGUGCAGAAGCACUCGGCAUCGCUCUGUGCGCGGUGCUUCCAAUGGGCCCUCGUUCAUUUCUCAGGACAUCCUCAUCCAGGAUGGGGAAAACUGGGGAUGUGCAACAGAAUGCAGCCGGGCUUUCUGACAGCAGUGCAGAUGUGGCCAUUGGUGCAACUGGGGGAGGGUGCUCGGCUGCCCAAUCUCACCCCAGCCACAUUUCCCUGCACAGUGCACCUUGCGGACAUUUCCUUGAUGCUGCUGGAGAUGAUGAGGGGUAAAUGCAUCGACAGAGCUGGAAAGUCCAAGUGAGGACCAAGGCCUCGCAUCCCCCUGUGGCGGCCAUCCAAAAUCACUCAGCCUUUUUCUCUCCCCUGAUCUCCAACUGAUCUGCAAACUGUGGUUUCUCUUAUCACCUCAAUGUAAAAAUUCUUCUUCUUUUUCCUUCCCUUUAUCAUUUUUCCUUUUUUACCCUUCUCCUCCCCAGCCAUGUAAUUCCCCAAGCUGCCAGGCUGCACUCCUAUAGACAUGGAUAGACGUGUUCCCUUUGCCAGUGGGGUUCUGGCACAAAGCAGCUGUAAGCAUUUUUGGAAGCUGACUUCCAAUGGGGUGGGAUGGAGGCUGUGUGUGUUGGCGUUUCCAUGCCCCCAAAGCACCGCUUUGUGCCUCGGGGCGACCAAAAUGAUCUCCUUGGGGCCAAAGAGGUGAUGAGAAACAGAGCAAAAGGGGGUGAAACAAAUGGGGAUGGCUUCUAAGGGGUCAGAUGGGAUAGAGAAGGAGGAGGAAGGAAAAACAAAGGGAAUAAACAGGAGUUCCUUUAGGAAUAAUAAUAAUAAUGGUGAAAAUGGUUAAUAAUGGUUAAUAGCACUUUUUUUCACGUGACUCAAUGGGGGGAGGUUCGAUAAAGUCGAGUGAUUUCCACCCUGUGCUAAAAGCAUGAACUCUCCUUUCAGCCACCUCCGCUCCUCCUUUGCUGCGGCGCUGGGGAUGCCGUUGACUCCACCAGGUAUGUGCAAAGUCCCACCCUGUCACCAUCCCUCCCAAAUGUCAAUUUACACUCCAUCUGUGCUCUCCUAAGGAAGCAUCUAAAGCAUCUUCCUAAGGAAGUUUGCUUCCUCAGCACCGUGAUAUGAUAAUGAUGCUGCAGUCUCAGUCAUUGGCAAUAAAGCGGCUGUUGGCGCCGGGGCGGCUGCACCCACCAACCUCUCACCACGUGUGCAUUCAAUUCAUUAAAAAAUCAAUAUUGGAAAUCAUGGUAAGAACGAAAACCCCCCAUUUCCAGCUUUCUGGAAUAGCGUCUAUACUUGGAAAUAGAAAGCAACUGGAGGUGCACUCAGCAGCAGAGCAUGGCUGGUAGAUUCCCAGCUAGAGGACAGGGGGUAAAUACAGAAGCACACAUUUUUAUUCCUCUCUCAUCCUCAUUUUGGUAAGGGGGGGUUCACUACUCUCUUCCUUUAUAUUUUGACACUCGAGGCUUGCAGAAAUGCUCAACAUUAUAGCUUGCAAAGCGGCCUGGGAUCAGGUGAAAGACAUAUAGAGAGCACGCAUUCCAACGCAUGGAAACACGAUACUAUCAAUGCUAAUCAAUAAAAGCCUAACCCUAACCCUUACGAAUGACUUAGCCAUAUGCUGUGCAUGCACCUUGGCCCCCUGCAGCAGGCACGGGGCUCUGCCCUGGGGUUGUUGCUUCGAGCCCAGCGUGGCCUUGGUGUGCUUGGAGCAUCCCAGGCGCAUUGCAGCGCUGCUGCAUCGCGGCCGCUGUUUCCCAUGCGCUCCGUCCCUCCCAGGUGAUAACACCACGAGAAACAGUGUCACUUUUUCUUUUAUUUACUGCUUUAUUCCCCUGAUAACAAAAAAAAAAAGAAAAAAAAAGAAAAAGAGAAGGCUGGGAUUUCAGUGAUGUUAUUUUUUUUGGCUGGGGGUGAUGGGAUGGUGGCUCUGCGCCCUCCUGGAUGCCAAUGGCCAAACCUUUGGAGGGUGCCAUCACCCUUUGCCCAUGCACCACGGUGACGUAUUUCACGUCUGUUUGAUGGGUUUCUUUCCCCUCCCUUCCCUUUUUUUUUCCCCUUUUUUUUUUUUUUUCCCUCCCUCCAUUUCUGCAUUUCAGCCUUUGUCUCAUCUCCCACCGGCGCCUAACGAAGGGGCAGCCACUCCCACGCCAAUGGGGUUUUUGUUGUUCUUGUUUUCCCGGUGCUUUGUUCCCCUUUCCACCCUCUCUGUGGCCCUCAUCCUACGCUUAUGGGGAUCCCAGUAAGGGCACGGGGCUGGGGUGCCUGGGGAGGGAUGGAGAAGCACAAAGCCCAGGCACGACCAGGGCUCUUGUUGUCAUGGUUGUGAGCGAAAGAGUUAACCCAUUAGCAAUUCUGAGCCCUUCUUCCGAUAGUUAAACCUGAUUUGCAUGCAUUUGCAUAAUGAAUGUCAUUUGCAUUCCUGGAGGUUGGCUACUUCUGUGGGAAAAGUCAAAGCGGGAUUGCAGGGAGGGCGAAAAAGGGGGGUGUGUGUGUGUGGGGGGGGGGAGGUCGGUGAAGAAUGGAGGGAAGAUUUCCCCGCGCCCCACGCGCAUCCCUGCCCCCUCCGCUGUCCUCGCCCAAACGCUGCAUGUCUUUUCCUUUUCCCCCCAUUUUUUCCCCCCUCGAUGCCUUCCUGCCUCUCCCUUCCAUAGGAUAAAGCCAUAGCAUAAAGCCAAGGGCGGAUGGGCCGCGUCGAGGCGAGCGCAUCCUUCCUGCUUACCCCCACCUCCUUCCCCCCCCCCUCCCUCCUUCCCCUCCUUUAAUUUCCCCCUUCUAAUUCCAUCUUGGCUCCUGUUCCCUGCACCCUCGUAUGCAGGGGGCUGCGGCCCUCUCCCUCCCCUCUCCGUGGGUGCAUGCGUGCUGGAACGGUAGCAGAAAGGGAAAGAAAAGGUGCGAGCCACCAUUUUAGGCAGCCGACAUAAAAUGGCCGAUGCUCGCUCGUGGCUGCAGCCGCCCCACAUCUCCGCCCGUGGUCCCAUAUCCCAUCAUGGCCCCACACCCCACUCGUGCCCCGUGUGCUCGCCCUAGCCUUGCUCACCCACCUUUUCCCUUUGCCACCCAUGGCGUUCGCCCCAGCAUCCCUCCCAGAUCCUUUCCUUUGGAUUCAUUUCCCAUUCCUGCAGUGGGGAUGAGACCAACGUGAGCAUCCGGUCCUUUCUACACCACGUUUUGGGGUGGUCGUUAAAAUUUGCUCUGUGCCACGGGGGAUAUUUUGGCUUCCUUUGCGCCAAACGAUCUCGCAGUGUCUUCAACCCACAUUCGUAUUAUCAUGUAUUGCAGAAAUACUAACGAAGCAGCUGUUUGAUUAUUUUUUUUUUCCCUUUUAUUGGACUGAGAACGUUUUGUGGCUGCUUAAAGAUUAGGGGGGGGGGGAGGGAGAGGGGGAGUAAUAUCAGUGCAAAAUACAACCAAGAUCAUCCUUGCCCUGCAACGUGGCCCAUAGGGCUUCAUGCGCCCAAUGGGCGGUUUGAUGGACAAAGAGGAUGGCACUGAGGUCAGAUAGGAGCAGGAAGAUCUCCCGACCUGCUGGGAGCUUUUUGAUUGAUCGAUUCUGUUCUGAUACUCGAGGUAUUUAUUUUGGGGUGCUUUACUUGCAGAGCCCAUUGUGAGUGGUUGCUGGUUUGGUGGUGACCUCGGUGCUCCAUUAGCUUGCAUUGGUGCUCCCUAAUGUCUCCCCAUUUAUCUGCUGCUGAGAGAGCAAGAAACCUGAAAGUCUGAAUGUGUGGGAUGAGCUGAAGCCCAGAUCUCUUUAUAUCCCAUCAGGUUGGAGCAUGAGCUCCAUCACCCCGUGCCCAUUUUGGGGCUGAGGCCACCAUCUCCAUGCAGGCAUUGAUCCCACAGAGGCAGCCCAGCACCUCCAGCCCCGCGUGUGCAGGAAUGGGAACUCAUUCCCUAACACCCACAAAAAUGCAUUAAGGCUCUUAGCUGCUCAGCUGAGCUGGGGCCGCUCAGCUGAUUUCUCACUGCUUGGAUUGGGGGGGGGGAUUUUUGUGCCUUUUUCUUGCUUUUUAUGCUGGGAUGCAGGAGUGGAGUGGACGUGGGCUUGGGGAUGGAGCUUUGGCAUCGCUGCUCUGUGUUGCUGAGCCUCCAUCCUUGGCUUAUUGCUUCCUUUCCAUUGCUUGCUCCUCUCUGGUUUCUAUACUGUUAUCAAUGAUUUAUGGGGCUGAAGGGCAAGAGAAAAGGAUCUUUCUCUGGCCCCAUUGCCUUCCCCUGUUAAACAUGCCAAAUAAAUUUGGCACUGGGCACUUAAAUCUAUGUGUAGCCCAUGAAUUGCCAUGGAUGGAAGCAAGGUUUAUGUGGAGGGGAAAUACACAAGGCAGAACAAUAUGUAAAAAAUAAAAUAAAUCCGUGCUGGCAACCCAGAACAGCACAGAGCAAUGGGGUGGGGAAAGCAGCAUGGGGUCCUACUGAGCUCCAGCAUCACCGCUGCAGGGCUGCCUCGGAUGGCUAUGCCACAGCACUCAGCAUCCCCAGAUCUGCACAAGCUCCGGGUCUUGGGGCUGGGCUUCAUUUUUUUUUUUCAGCAGAUCCAGUGGCAGGGGGAAGCCUAGGGACCACGGCUCCCCAUGAGGCAGGGUUCUUUCGAAUGAGGUUUGUAGCAUUUGGCUCUGCCUUGUAACUCCUGGGCUGGAGGUCCACGGGGAUGAGGGAUGCUGGGUGAAUUCUGUGGCCAUAAUCAGCUGUAGUGCAGCUGGGGGGUUCUGGGGCUGACAUUUAUCCCGCUCUCAUCCCCUUUUCUCUUUCUCCCCACUAGUGCAGACAGUGGCUUCCCCUGCUGUGAUGCCCCACUCGUUUCCUGGGCAGCCAAGAGCAAUGCUUGAGUCCUGGUGGAAGUUCAUUCAGAAUUGCCUGGAGCGGAGGCUGGAGAGGAAAACCACAACCACAGCAGAGCCUGGACACGGGGAGCUGCUAGCAGGACCCAUCUCAGGGACAGUCACUGUGUGUACCUUCCUCCAUCCUCCUCCUGCUCCCAGCAGCUGAUGGCCUGGAGCAGCACAGAGCAGGCCUGGCAUCGGGCUAUAGGGACACCAGGAGCACCCCGGGGAUAGGACCCAACACCAUGCCACACUGGUGGAGAACACAAAGCUGGAAGAGGGGAAAAAAAAAAAUCAACAGAAGAAGAAGAAAAGAAUGGAAACGAAAGUCUCCAAACUCAGGAGAUCUGUGUUAAUUGCUUACGAACGUCUCCAUCCCAAAAGUUAUCCGAUUGAUGUUGUCGUGCUUUUUUUUUGACAGCCUGUCUGUUAUGUAUUUUUUUUUAAAUAUUCAUGCACCGAAAUCUAAUUACUAGGCAAAUUUAAUGAUAAUGAAAUGAAGGCACUUUAGCAGAAAGCAUAGGGCCUUGUUAAUAUUUUCUCAGUCUCUGUCUUGCUCACAUUUUUUUUUUCACCGCCGCCUUUCUUGCAGUAUAAAAGAAUUGCCAAAAAUAAAACUUGGAUUGCUGAAGAUGUUUGUGGUGGCUCUUUUUAUAAUGAUGGGGGAUUUGUGAGGUGAUUAAAGGUGCUGGGCAAAAAAAUCGAGUGAGCCAAAGCUAAUCGGGUGAGGCAGAUGAAGUAUUGAUGUUAGGGAACGUUAUGGGGGAAGACGGGUGCAUGCAUGGAUGGAUGGAUGCAUGCAUGGAUGGAUAGAUGGAUGGAGGGAUGGAUGGAUGGAGGGAUGGGUGGAUGCAUGGAUGGGUGGAUGGAUGGGUGGAUGGAUGCAUGGAUGGGUGGAUGGAUGUAUGGAUAGGUG